CAUAAGGACCUCUCCACUUUGGACCUAAUGGAACAAUAUUCCAUUCUUUUAUAAACACUUGAUCUUCCGGUUGAUAGGAAUGAACAGGUGGAUAUAUGUUCACAGGUAACCUAUCUUGCACCCAUUUCUGUACUUCCUCCAUAGUUUUACCCAACUCUACAACCUGCUGCUGAGUAAUUCCUUCACCCUUAGAUUACUGAGUAUGGGAGGUGGACGCCCAUACACGAUUUCAAAGGGAGACAGACC